CUGCUGCCUCCCGUAGGAGUCUGGUCCGUGUCUCAGUACCAGUGUGGGGGACCUUCCUCUCAGAACCCCUACGCAUCGUCGCCUCGGUGGGCCGUUACCCCGCCGACUAGCUAAUGCGACGCAUGGCCAUCCUAUGCCGGAGUCGCCUCCUUUGACCCCCUGGAGAUGUCUCCAAAUGGUGUUAUGCGGUAUUAGACGGAAUUUCUUCCGCUUAUCCCCCUGCAUAGGGCAGGUUCCAUACGUGUUACUCACCCGUGCCG
rnacentral:rRNA from 1 species